rnacentral:misc_RNA from 1 species
AGGGAAGGCAUUUUGAGGUUGAAAGUUAGUGGAAGAAGAUGUUAGGUGCAGUGGUUGAUGCCUGAGGCCUAUCAAACAAACGACACCCUGCAUCGGCUUUUAAAUCCCCCCCACCCCUAUAAUCCUUCCUAAAAAGGUCUCAAUCUCUCUCACAAACAACACAAGAGACUUCUCCAGAGAGCAAAGCCAAGCCAACCAAUAACCAAACGCUCACGCAACCCCCUACUCCUGCUUAUCCGCAACUCAAUCUUCUCCAAAACCCAGAUGGAUCCCGGUCUCCAAACCCCAAAAUCCCAAGAAUCCACCACUGAAGAACAGAACCAGCAACAGCAGCUUGCCAUUCUACCUUGCCAAUUCAUUUCACCUCCAUUUGCCACUGCCUCUCUCUCUCUUUCUUUAUCCACAAUACUCCCUACCUACUUUUUCAACCAGCCAAAAAUCUCUUCUUUGUUUUCGCACACACCAACCAAGGCCAAAAUUCCCACUCAGGCCUCUUCUCUCUCUCACCUCUCUCUCUCCUCCUCGACUCUCUCCCCUCCCAAACUCUCCUUCAAGUCCACCAUCUCUGCCAACCCUUUACAGAACACUCUCUCUCUGGGCCCACGCCGCCCCGCUGACCCCUCCAAUGCCGCCGGAAUUCGUCGAGCUUCCAUCGUUUGGUUCCGCAACGACUUGCGUGUCCAUGACAAUGAGUGCCUCAACUCUGCUAAUGAUGAGUCCAUGUCUGUUUUGCCUGUUUACUGCUUUGACCCUAGAGAGUAUGGCAAAUCCUCUUCUGGGUUCGAUAAGACUGGGCCUUAUCGUGCCACUUUCUUAAUCGAAUCGGUUGCUGACCUCCGCAAGAACCUUCAGGCUAGAGGGUCCGAUCUUGUGGUCAGAGUUGGGAAGCCGGAAACUGUAUUGAUUGAGUUGGCCAAGGCCAUUGGGGCUGACGCUGUUUAUGCACACAGAGAGGUGUCUCAUGAUGAGGUCAAGGCCGAGGAGAAGAUUGAGGCGGCCAUGAAAGAUGAGGGAGUUGAGGUGAAAUACUUCUGGGGAAGUACUUUGUAUCACGUGGAUGAUCUGCCUUUCAAGUUGGAAGAAAUGCCAUCGAAUUAUAGCGGAUUUAAGGAGAAAGUACAGGGAGUGGAGCUUAGGAAAACCAUUGCUGCAUUGGAUCAAUUGAAGGGGAUGCCAUCAAGAGGAGAUGUGGAGCCUGGCGAGAUCCCAUCUUUGUUGGAUUUGGGUCUCAGCCCGACCCAGGUUUGAGUUUCUGCUUUCUGUUUGAUUAUUUUAAGUGCUUGGAUUGCUAUGUUGAAGAUGUUGCUAUGAUUAUGUUUCACUAUAUUCGUGGUUUGAUGUUUGUCUGAAUAUUGCAAUUAUAAUGAAUAUAUAUUAUUGGUGGGCAAAAUUUGAAUAGAAAUGAACGGCUGGCUAGGAGGUUACAUCAAUAUUAAAGUGGAAAAGUAAACAUUUUUAUGCAUACCAAUAUGGUGUUCUUAUAGAUAGAUGGAUGGUAGUUGUUAUGAAUGAUUUAUAGAAAUGUGGCAUUCUAGUAAAUCAAAAUAGCCUCUUGCCUCGUAAUGUUUUAAUCUUGCAAUUUGAGUUGAUAAGAACAUUUGCUCCAUUACUGGCCUGAUUAUGAACUCUCAUUUCUCAAAAUUGAUGUUCCAGAUAAUGUUGCAAUUCAAGUAUUCUGCUUGGCAUCCUUGAUGUGACCUGCAGAUGUUACUGCAGUUUCUGAAACAAAUUACUUAUGCAGAAGAAAAUAUUAGUGGAUGUUCUCAUCAUACUUUAAAUGCGGUAACAAUGCUUUCCAAUAAUGGUGAUGCAGGAAGGAAAGGCAGUUGCUAAUGCUUCUAUGGUGGGAGGAGAGACUGAAGCACUGCAGAAGCUUAAAAAAUUUGCAGCAGAGUGCCAAGCACAACCACCCAAAGGAGGCAGCCAUGACAGCAUAUAUGGUGCAAACUUUUCCUGCAAAAUUUCCCCAUGGCUAACCAUGGGAUGCAUCUCUCCUCGUUCCAUGUUUGAUGAGCUAAAGAAAACAGCUGCCAGAACUAUUUAUGCCGCUGCAAAUCGUAACGAUGGUGGUAGCUCUCCAGACACUGGAAUGAACUGGUUGAUGUUUGAGUUAAUGUGGAGGGAUUUCUUCAGGUAGCUUGAUAAUCUGUACCAUUAUUCUUCAAAAAUUUGGACUCCAUGUUAUGACAAAUCUAUCUUUUCCUUCUUUGUAUGUUGAUAUAAUUGUUGCUUGAAGAUGAUGAAAAACUAAAGAUAGGUUUUGUAAAGGUUUCUGGCUUGAUUCUUUUUUUCUUUUAGUAAAAUUGUGAGUGUUGUUCAAGUAUGCAUUUUAAUUUCUUUAAUAAUGCUUUCGUAAAUAUCUGAUGUUAUUGAUCUUUGCAGAUUCAUCACCAAGAAGUACAGUUCUCCAAAGAAACAGCUUGAAGCAGCUCCAGCCGCAGCUUGUGCGGGUGCCCUUGCAUAGGCAAGAAUCUAUUUUGGUCAUCAAAGGAGCUUAUUUUUAUGUGGAGUGCGUUACAUAAUCAGUUUCGACAAUGUAGUUAGAUGUUGUAGUAGUGUUGAUUAAAGGGAGUUCCCCUGUCAAACCUUGGGUUCUCCCUGUCAAAUAAGUUCAUUGAAAUUUGGAUAGUGCGUUAUUUUAGAAACCUUUUCUAUUUUUGGACCUCAUGUGAAUAACAGAUCCCCGGUUCUGCUUUUUAUCUGUUGUCACAUCUUUAUAUGUUUGAUGAAUAUAGCUGAAAUUAAGCAUGUGUUGCUCCUAUUUGUCUGCGGAGCAUAUUUGUUUUGCAAAGUGAAUACACUGUUUAGGGAUGAAUAUGGGAUUGAUUUUCUUGAC